UUGUUGAUAUUUCUUUAUUUUAUAAGUAAAUUAAUAAUAAUUUUAAAAGGGGGGUUCACAGGGCUACCAGCCCUAGAGUAAAUAAGUAGUAGUAUAUUUCUCCUACAUAA
rfam:Erinaceus europaeus unplaced genomic scaffold scaffold00061, whole genome shotgun sequence